UACGUAGGUGGCAAGCGUUGUCCGGAAUCGCUGGGCGUAAAGCGCGCGCAGGCGGCGAUCUACGUCUGGGGUGAAAGCCCGGAGCUCAACUCCGGGACUGCCUUGGAUACGGGAUCGCUUGAGGAUUGGAGAGGCAAGGGGAAUUCCACGUGUAGCGGUGAAAUGCGUAGAUAUGUGGAGGAACACCUGUGGCGAAGGCGCCUUGCUGGCCAAUUUCUGACGCUGAGGCGCGAAAGCGUGGGGAGCAAACAGG
rnacentral:rRNA from 1 species